rnacentral:hammerhead_ribozyme from 1 species
AUCCAGCUGACGAGUCCCAGAUGAGGUGAAACGCGCUUCCUGAAU